GGAGUCAUCACUGUAUGCUUUACGUUAUAAGGCUUACUACCUUGCGUUCCAUGUUCGGAGGAGUCAUCAUCACAUAUUCCAUGUUGGUGCAGUCAUCACUGUAUGUCCCAUGGUAGGAGAAGUCACUGUAAACUGCAUGUAAUGAGGAGUCAUUAUGCUAGACCGCAGGAGGCAUUAUUGCACCAUCUCAUAUUAGUCAGGAGCAAACAGCACUGCUUUGUCCAGUGGAGACAGGAGGAGACAUCACCACACCAUCCAAUUAACAAAACAAGAAGUUAUCAGUGCACAUCCCACAUUAGGAAUCAUCACUGUACUUUUGCAGUAGGAGUCAUCACUGCACCUUCAUAUAUGACAAGACAUUCCAUUCCAUAUUGGGAUGAUUCAUCACAGCUUUUUUGCAUCUCGAACAGGAAGACGUGUUACUGUAUGUGUGUUAGACAUAAGGAGGUGUUAUUACACAAUUCCAUGACAGACCAUAUUAGAUGUCACAGCACUUUUCCAAGUUAGACAAGCGAGGACAUUGUGGAACUGCCCCAUCUCAGAUCUUCAAAGUGCUGAAUGUAUUUUAUUUUUUUUAAAAUGUUUUUGAAUUUGCAUUGCUGGUUCAGUGCAUAUGUCAAUAUUUCUUCCUUGUCC